rnacentral:rRNA from 1 species
GACGAACGCUGGCGGCGUGCCUAACACAUGCAAGUCGAACGGAAAGGCCCUGCUUGCUGGGUACUUGAGUGGCGAACGGGUGAGUAACACGUGGGUGUUCUGCCCUGCACUUCGGGAUACGCCUGGGAAACUGGGCCUAAUACCGGAACGGAGACAUUUUUAGUGUGAUGGUUGGAAAGUUUUUUCGGUGUCGGAUGAGCUCGCGGCCAAUCAGCUUGUUGGUGGGGUAAUGGCCUACCAAGGCAGCGACGGGUAGCCGACCUGAGAGGGUGGACGGCCACAAUAGUACUAAGGGAGGGACCAGAGUGCAACAGGGGGCAGCAGUGGGGAGUAUGACACAGUGAGGGCAAGCGUGUGACGGCGGCCUCGCGUGGGGGAUGACGUCCUACGGGUUGUGAACGCCUUUCAGUUAAUACGAAGCUUUUGUGACGUUACCUAGAGAAGAAGCACCGGCUAACUACGUG